rnacentral:rRNA from 1 species
GAUGAACGCUGGCGGCGUGCCUAAUACAUGCAAGUCGAGCGAACAGACGAGGAGCUUGCUCCUCUGACGUUAGCGGCGGACGGGUGAGUAACACGUGGAUAACCUACCUAUAAGACUGGGAUAACUUCGGGAAACCGGAGCUAAUACCGGAUAAUAUAUUGAACCGCAUGGUUCAAUAGUGAAGGACGGUUUUGCUGCCACUUAUAGAUGGAUCCGCGCCGCAUUAGCUAGUUGGUAAGGUAACGGCUUACCAAGGCAACGAUGCGUAGCCGACCUGAGAGGGUGAUCGGCCACACUGGAACUGAGACACGGUCCAGACUCCUACGGGAGGCAGCAGUAGGGAAUCUUCCGCAAUGGGCGAAAGCCUGACGGAGCAACGCCGCGUGAGUGAUGAAGGUCUUCGGAUCGUAAAACUCUGUUAUUAGGGAAGAACAAAUGUGUAAGUAACUAUGCACGUCUUGACGGUACCUAAUCAGAAAGCCACGGCUAACUACGUG